rnacentral:rRNA from 1 species
GAUGAACGCUGGCGGCAUGCCUAAUACAUGCAAGUCGAACGAGAGGAAGGAAAGCUUGUUUUUCUGAAUCUAGUGGCGAACGGGUGAGUAACACGUAGGUAACCUGCCCAUGUGCCCGGGAUAACUUCUGGAAACGGAUGCUAAAACCGGAUAGGUAGCAGACAAGCAUUUGACUGCUAUUAAAAGUGGCUAAGGCCAUGAACAUGGAUGGACCUGCGGUGCAUUAGCUAGUUGGUGAGGUAACGGCCCACCAAGGCGACGAUGCAUAGCCGGCCUGAGAGGGCGGACGGCCACAUUGGGACUGAGACACGGCCCAAACUCCUACGGGAGGCAGCAGUAGGGAAUUUUCGUCAAUGGGGGGAACCCUGAACGAGCAAUGCCGCGUGAGUGAGGAAGGUCUUCGGAUCGUAAAGCUCUGUUGUAAGAGAAAAACGACAUUCAUAGGGAAUGAUGAGUGAGUGAUGGUAUCUUACCAGAAAGUCACGGCUAACUACGUGCCAGCA